UACGUAGGGUGCAAGCGUUGUCCGGAAUUAUUGGGCGUAAAGAGCUCGUAGGCGGUUUGUCGCGUCUGCUGUAAAAACUCAGGGCUUAACCCUGAGCCUGCAGUGGGUACGGGCAGACUAGAGUGUGGUAGGGGAGAUCGGAAUUCCUGGUGUAGCGGUGGAAUGCGCAGAUAUCAGGAGGAACACCGGUGGCGAAGGCGGAUCUCUGGGCCAUAACUGACGCUGAGGAGCGAAAGCAUGGGGAGCGAACAGG
rnacentral:rRNA from 1 species